GAACAAUGCCGAGCAUAAUGCAUGUGUAAUACCGGCGAUGGGCCACAGGCAAGAGUCGAUCACAUAACUCAGUACAUGUAGCCUUAGCCGUAGGUUUAGUAUCUCGCUCAUGAUUUUGCCGGACACAGCAAAGAACUCAAUCAUGGCGUACAAUCCCUUUCUAAUUCACAGACCCAUGGAUUACGCGAUGGGCUCUCUCCUCUCUCAGUCGCCUUUCCUCCCAACGAUGACGAUACAGCACCCCGGGCUAGCUGCGUCCCUGCUUCCAAAGCUCCAGCAUGGGCUUGGGCGUGGUCCAAUGACCCCCUCGGACAUGAUGUCGCACCACGACCCCUUCAGACCCCUACGUGGGAUGGAACCCCCCGACAUUGAGGUCAACGAUGACCCCAAAGUAGAGCUAGAAAGCAAAGAAUUGUGGGAGAGCUUCCACAAACUCGGCACGGAGAUGGUUAUAACAAAAUCUGGCAGACGAAUGUUCCCACCGUUCAAGGUGAAGGUCUCAGGGUUAGACAAAAAGGCAAAGUACAUAUUGCUAAUGGACACUGUUGCCGUCGACGACUGCCGCUACAAAUUCCACAACAGCAAAUGGAUGGUGGCCGGGAAAGCUGACCCCGAGAUGCCCAAGAGGAUGUACAUCCACCCCGACUCCCCCAGCACCGGGGAACAGUGGAUGCAGAAGGUCGUCUCCUUCCACAAGCUGAAGCUCACAAACAACAUUUCCGAUAAACACGGAUUUACAGGGCUGGACUACUUUCAAACGAUCCUAAACUCCAUGCACAAGUAUCAGCCACGGUUUCAUCUAGUCCGAGCCAACGACAUACUCAAACUCCCAUACAGCGCCUUUCGAACCUACGUGUUCAAGGAAACGGAGUUCAUAGCCGUAACAGCAUAUCAAAACGAAAAGAUAACACAGCUGAAGAUCGACCAUAAUCCGUUCGCUAAAGGCUUUCGAGACACAGGAGGAGGAAAAAGAGAGAAAAAUUUUUCUAUUUCUAGAAGACUACUCCUGGGAAGCUCACAAAGCACCUCCGGCGUACACAGCGAGCAGAAACCGGAAGUAAUUCACAAUGGCAGUGAUGACGAAGAAGCCGAAAACGAGGUUAUCGUUGUCGUGGAGACUGACGAUAUGGCAGCGCCCGUAAUAGCAACAGAAGGCCGUGUGUCACCGGAAAUGUUACCAGAGUCCAAAACUUCCGAGUCGGCAGACUUCAAGAAUUCCGUUUCCGUUGAUGUUCCACCGGACCCAAAGAUCGACAAAGAUCAUUCUGAAGUUCAAGGUGAAGUUCAAGGUGAAAGUCAAGUUGAAGAUCAGGGUCAUGAUAGUGAAACAUCAGCCGUUAAUGUCACCGAUGACAAGGCCAAAUGUACAGAUGACGAAGGCGAGGAAGAGAUUGAUGUCAGUGACGAUAGAGAUUCCGCUCAGUACCACAAUGUCUCACAUUCAGAGGAUGACGCUUCGUCCAACAACGACCAUUUACGCACGGAACCUGUGACGGACGACGAAGGUCGAGAUGAAGCCAAGGACGAACUAAGUUCAAGGCCGGAUUACCGAACAUCUGACACUGAAAAGCGUUCAGAUGGUGAGAGAUCAGACUCGGACAGUGAACAUGUGAAAGAAAUGGUUGUUGAACGUGAGAAGUCCUUCUUCAAAGAGCACACUAGUCCCCCGAACGUGACAGUGAUUCAGCCAUCUGUGUCUCACCCAAUGUUCCCUUAUCUCUGCCCAUCGGGUUACCCCUCAUCCACAUCGGGCCUGCAUUACCCAAUCAACCCUGUGCUAUUCAACACAUCAUCCUUAUCCCACGGGUCUCUUCCGGUAUCCCUUCUCCAUCACUCGGGUCACAACAUGUCCCCAAUUCCAACCUCCCAUCUCCAUGGCCCGGGGAUUGGGUCGUCUAACCACUUGGGGGGUUCUCACGGCCUCCUCCAGAACUCCAACCUCCUCCCCCAAGGAUACCCCUCCCUGGGCCUUCCCGGGACGUCGCUGUCCCACCUCGCAGGAUCUCACCACCUCAGUUCUCUUUUCGCUUCUCGAAGCGCGGGCCACAGAUUCAACCCCUACGCAAUACCCCUGACAAAGACCACCAUGGCCUCUGCAGGGUCCCCCAUCACCUCACCUUGUGCUCCCCUGGGGGGUGGGGAACCAUCUUCUCGGGGCAUCACCCAUUCAGUAUCAUCAAUGUGUCAAAGUCCACCCUCAAGGAAAAGUCCACUCCAAAGCAUAGCAGUGACUCACGCCAAUCCUCACAGUGAACUGAAAAGCAUAGAAAAAAUGCUGAAUGGUCUUGAUAGAAGGCAGGCACAUCGCGAAUCGGACCUCCGGCUAGACAAAUAGCGCAGCCUGCUCAGUACUUGUGACUUUUAUUGACGGGUAUGCCAAUGUAGAGAAACAGGAAUUGUGAACAGUUUAUCUACAAAUGAGAUUGACCUUCUCAAAUUCGAAAUGGCCAAAAUAUGUAUAUGUGCACGUGAACUGAUGACGUCAUCAUUAUAUGUGAAGUGAAAUUGACACUGCCAUGUGUAGUAUUGUGCUGAAUGUCGACAUUCAAAUUUGUCGAAAUGACGUCAUGUGGUUGUUGCUAUGACACGGACGACACAUAGUUUAAACUCUGUUCUUUUUUCUUCAAUCUAAAAUUUGACAUGAAAAUCGUUUUUGCUGUUGUAGAACAAUUUGUGAUUGGGCAAAUGUGCAAAAGACAAAUCUGUGAUGCUUGCGACUUGGUCAUGACGGAAAUGACCGGACACUGACGGAAUUGGCCGAGUUUAUUCGACAGGUCGCUAAUAAAUGUUUUGAUCUCUGUGGCCGAAAGUAGAUUAGUUUAGAAGCAAACUACUGUUUCCAACAGCGGCAACUGAAUCUGUUCUGUUGACAUAUUGUCAAAAACAGACUUUGCCAUAGUGUUAGUUAGAACCUUUGGCGUAUUUUUUUCAAAUAUAGUGCUGUGUAAUUAUGGUAACAUUGGCACAAAGAGGGGAUCAUUAAAAUGAAAGCAGGGCUUCUAUAAUCGCUCCAUUAAAUGUUCCGAUCAACUUUUAGCCUUUUUUAAAAGGAAUUAUUGAGUACACGUUGGGUUCAUCCUGUCUGUAACGCUAUUAGCUAUAAUUAGUCAGUAACACUGCCAGAACAAAUGCCCAAUGACAGAAAUAAUCCCCUGUGUCUUCCUCAAAGACCAAGUAAGGCUUGUUAUCCUUCCAAUAUUUUCCAGUGUUAUCAAUGUUCCAGUUUGGCAAUUGUUCUGGAAAUUAUAUGACUUUAUUUUUAUUCAAAGUGCCCGUUUACGAAUAUUCAUUGUGAUCUGAUUUUGUAUUUCCAAAUUUAGAACUGGGAAAACAUUAGGGAUAACUGCAUUUAUUAUUUUGAAUAGUUCAGUGUUUUCUCGUACUCUCAGUGUUCUCCAGAUGUCCAAACGUGUCAAUAUAACGUCAUUACACUAUCCAUAAAUUGACACUCAGUAUUUGGUUUGAUAAAAUCCAUAUUCGAUAUAGUACUCGAUGAAUCCUAUACCGCCAACUGGGCGGAAUGUGUAUGUAUGAAAGGCUACUAUUUAUUUGAUAUGUUAUGUAUGGAUAAAGUGACUAUCUCUCGUAUCUACGGGAGUCGUGUCAUCAGUUCUCAUCAGUUGACCACUGGACCGAGUCAGUUAAACGCACGUUCUGUCGCAUAGAAUGUUAGACCCAUAGAACCAGACGUUGCAGCGAUGGAAAUAAAUUAUAGGCAUAACCAAGCAUUACAGUCGAUUGGAAUCAGUACAUGUCAUUUAGUAUAUUCUUGAUAUUGCUGUUUCCGUGAUUCAGGUAUAUGCUUCUUUAAGUGUAUGCUCCAUUGAGGUAUAUGCUUCUUUAAGUGUAUGCUCCAUUGAGGUAUAUGCUUCUUUAAGUGUAUGCUCCAUUUAGGUAUACGCUUCUUUAAGUGUAUGCUCCAUUUAGGUAUAUGCUUCAUUUAAGUGUAUGCUCCAUUCAGGUAUAUGCUUCAUUAGGUGUAUGGCUAUACCAAUGGAUCGAUCCUGCAGUUAUAAAAUGUUACUAGUAUUUAUUCCGAGGGACAUAUUUAACAAUUAUGGACAAACGGACCUAAAAAUGCACAUAUUAUCAGACAUUAUAUAAGUGGUCAACAAUGAUAUUUAUGACACGACCCCCAAGGCGGAUAAUGUUUUCCAAGAUCUCCAAUAUCUAUGAUCCCGUAGUUAUCAAAGCGACUCCUUCUUAAGUAUGGCAACACCCUAAAAUACAACGUCUUUUCAGAUUAUCCUGAAUGUUUAAUGAAGAUGAGUAAAUGGUAUUAGAUUUUUUAUGAACUGGCCGCCAAGGCAAACCAGCUGAACAUUGUUAAUUAACUAAGGGCUCUAUUAACUAAUUUGAAAAAUAUUUACAAAGAGGUGUGUGCUAUCCUUAAGAAAUUAAGGACGAGGUUAACCUGCCAAAGGGAUCCGCAAAAUGAACUCUAUGUUGUAGUUCGACUGCAGAAUGUGUGUAAAUACCGUAAUGAAUGUAAAGUACAUCUUGAUUAAAGUCAAACGAACUGAGUAACCAAA
rnacentral:misc_RNA from 1 species